AACGAACGCUGGCGGCAUGCCUAACACAUGCAAGUCGAACGAGACCUUCGGGUCUAGUGGCGCACGGGUGCGUAACGCGUGGGAAUCUGCCCUUCGGUUGGGAAUAACUGAGAGAAAUUUCAGCUAAUACCUUAUAAUGUCUUCGGACCAAGAUUUAUCGACGAGGGAUGGGCCCGCGUAGGAUUAGGUAGUUGGUGGGGUAAUGGCCUACCAAGCCGACGAUCCUUAGCUGGUCUGAGAGGAUGAUCAGCCACACUGGGACUGAGACACGGCCCAGACUCCUACGGGAGGCAGCAGUGGGGAAUAUUGGACAAUGGGCGAAAGCCUGAUCCAGCAAUGCCGCGUGAGUGAUGAAGGCCUUAGGGUUGUAAAGCUCUUUUACCCGGGAUGAUAAUGACAGUACCGGGAGAAUAAGCUCCGGCUAACUCCGUG
rnacentral:rRNA from 1 species